rnacentral:lncRNA from 1 species
UAUGUUCGAGCUCAGACCCAGGUAAUUCCCUUUGUCAAUCUGAUUGCUGCUCUUAACUUUGACCUUUCUUUCUUGUACUGAUGUGUGUGUUUACUGCAGGCCAACGCUAUACUUGCCCGAGCCAUCCCUCCCCUCGCCCGAUCCACAAAGAAAGAAGUUCAGCUUGGGACGGAGGUGGAGUUGCUGGAGGCUGAAGUACGGGGUCUGCAGUCGGACCUGAAGAAGGAACGGGA